rnacentral:rRNA from 1 species
AUGACCGUGACGCUCGAGGAUGUCGCGUUGAUCACCGGUCUUGCUAUCGACGGGAGGCCUCUCUGUAUGAGCACCGAUUCUGAUGGGUGGCGCGAGCAGAUGAUUGCUCUAAUCGGUAUGGCUCCUACCGAGGCUGAGGCUGAUGUAGAGGAGGGAGAAGAGAAGAAGAAGAGGGAAAGGAAAGUAGUCGGAGCUGCUUUCACGUGGAUUCAAAAUAACUUUGUGACAUGCCCUCCGGAUGCCACUGAUGAUGUGAUCCAGACACAUGCUCGUGUGUAUAUGUGGUACAUUGUGUCGAGGACUUUGUUUCCUGACUCCACUGGCAAGAACGCUCCAUGGAUGUGGCUGAAGGCGUUGACCGUCUUUGAUAGCAAAUGGAGCUGGGGUUCAGCGACUCUUGCCUACUUGUACCGACAGCUGGACGAUGCGUGUUGCAGGAUCACAGAUAGUGCAGGCAUUGGUGGUAAUCUGCUUCUACUUUCUGUAUGGAGCUGGGAGCGUCUGCCUGUUGGAUGCCCGAAGAGCGUCAGGUUUGAUCCUUGGUAUGCAGAUGAACAUGAUGAAUUACGGCGCCCCACGUGGGCUUACAAGUGGGAUAUCGUUUCCGAGAUGACGAACGAUGUCAAUCUCAUGUACCAAAAGUACAUUGCCGAGUUGGACACGAUUACGCCUGAGCAGGUGGAAUGGCAGCCAUAUGGCGCGGGUGAGAGCUUGGGGUACACCGAGGAGUUCCGCCUCAACCCGAUGUGCUUGCGGGAUAAGGAUCUCUGGCUUAUGCGGUGCCCAUUGAUAUGCAACUGGGCGGUUGAGUUUCAUUUGCCGCAUCGCGUUUAUCGUCAGUUUGGUCUGUUCCAACCUCACCCGCCGGACUGGGUGGACACGGACAAAGCACUUCAUAGGUUGGACAGGAGAAGGCAACGGAAGAUAAAGGACUGGGAGAAGCAUCAUGCUUCGUAUGUUACCCGCUUCUAG